CCUUUAAAGGAGCCAGUUGCUUUUCCUUUUAAGGCUACACCCAGCAACACAAAGUUGUGCAUUUUACUGAAUUCUAUCCUAUCAGCUCCUCUCAAUAGUUUACAGGGUGCAAAUAUGACUCUGUGGCUAAACAUGGUAUCCCUAUUAGCAUUCCUCAGAGGUGUUCAAUCUGAGAUCCAGUUGGUGGAAUCUGGAGGGGGUGUGAGAAGACCUGGAGGGUCCAUCCGUCUCUCCUGCCAAGCCUCUGGAUUCACCUUCAGCAGCUAUUACAUGGACUGGGUGAGACAGGCUCCAGGAAAAGGACUGGAAUGGGUGGCAGAGAUCGGUACAUCUUCAUCUCCAAUACGCUACUCGGACGGAGUCAAGGGACGCUUCACCAUCUCCAGGGAUGAUUCCCGAAGCCAGCUGUAUUUGCAAAUGGACAGUCUGAAACUGGAAGACACGGCAGUUUAUUACUGUGCUAGAGACACAGUGAGAGGAAGUGAAUCUGAGGCCAAGCAAAAACCUUCUCAUCAGAGCAGCUAUUCAAAUUGAGUUCCUUACAGAGAG